rnacentral:rRNA from 1 species
AACGGACGCUGGCGGCAGGCUUAACACAUGCAAGUCGAACGGGUGUAGCAAUACAUCAGUGGCGCACGGGUGAGUAACGCGUGGGAAUAUGCCCUUUGGUACGGAACAACCUCGGGACACUGAGGCUAAUACCGUAUAAUAUCUGCGGAUCAAAGAUUUAUCGCCAAAGGAUUAGCCCGCGUUGGAUUAGGUAGUUGGGGAGGUAACGGCUCACCAAGCCGACGAUCCAUAGCUGUUCUGAGAGGAUAAUCAGCCACACUGGGACUGAGACACGGCCCAGACUCCUACGGGAGGCAGCAGUGAGGAAUAUUGGACAAUGGAGGAAACUCUGAUCCAGCCAUGCCGCGUGAGUGAUGAAGGCCUUCGGGUUGUAAAGCUCUUUUACCCCUGACGAUAAUGACGGUAAGGGGAGAAAAAGCCACGGCUAACUUCGUGCCAGCAGCCGCCGCCG